GACGAAGGGUGCGGGUGUUAUUCGUUUUGAUUGGGUGUAAAGGGUACGUAGGCCGUUGUUGGUUUUGUCUUGGCAAAAAACGCGGGGUGUUCCCACGCGAACUGCCUUUUAAAAAAACAACUUGAGUUGGGGAUAGGUCGGGGCAAAUUUGUGCGUAGGGGUUGAAUCCUGCCAGACACGAAUGAACACCAGCAGGCGAAGGCGCCCUUCUCGCUUCAACUGACGCUAAGGUACGGAAGCUUAGGUAGCAAACGGG
rnacentral:rRNA from 1 species